rnacentral:rRNA from 1 species
GCUAAAUAGACUCUUCCUACUUUUGGGUCGGGUCGCCGUCCGCGUGGGUUCGUCCCUGUUGGCGGUCCCGGCUCACUCGGGAAAUUACGAGUUUCUUCUUAGAGGGACUGGCGAUUAUUAGUCGCACGAGAUUGAGCAAUAACAGGUCUGUGAUGCCCUUAGAUGUUCUGGGCCGCACACGCGCUACACUGAAUCGAUCAGCUAGUUACCUCCCUGUCAGAAAUGACCGGGUAACCUGUUGAACCCGAUUCGUGGUAGGGAUUGGAGCUUGCAAUUGUUCUCCAUGAACCAGGAAUUCCCAGUAGGCGUAAGUCAUAAGCUUGCGUCGAUUACGUCCCUGCCUUUUGUACACACCGCCCGUCGCUACUACCGAUUGAGUGUUUUAGUGAGGUCCUCGGAUUGCUUGCCAGUGCGGGUUAACGCCUGUGGUUGGUGUGGCGAGAAGACGACCAAACUGUAGCACUUAGAGGAAGUAAAAGUCGUAACAAGGUAUCCGGUUAGGUGAA